rnacentral:rRNA from 1 species
CCUACGGGAGGCAGCAGUGAGGAAUAUUGGACAAUGGUCGAAAGACUGAUCCAGCCAUGCCGCGUGCAGGAAGACGGCCCUAUGGGUUGUAAACUGCUUUUGUUUGGGAAGAAACCUUUCUACGUGUAGAAAGCUGGCGGUACCAUACGAAUAAGCACCGGCUAACUCCGUGCCAGCAGCCGCGGUAAUACGGAGGGUGCAAGCGUUAUCCGGAUUUAUUGGGUUUAAAGGGUCCGUAGGCGGACUUAUAAGUCAGUGGUGAAAUCCUGCAGCUCAACUGUAGAACUGCCAUUGAUACUGUAAGUCUUGAAUUCGGUUGAAGUGGGCGGAAUAUGGCAUGUAGCGGUGAAAUGCUUAGAUAUGCCAUAGAACACCGAUUGCGUAGGCAGCUCACUAAGCCUGGAUUGACGCUGAGGGACGAAAGCGUGGGUAGCGAACAGGAUUAGAUACCCUGGUAGUCCACGCCGUAAACGAUGAUUACUCGACAUUAGCGAUACACGGUUAGUGUCAUAGACGAAGACGAUUAAGUAAUACCGACCGUCGGGUAAGGUACGUUCGUUCGAAGAAGUUAGAAACGUACGAAGGAAGUUAGACGGCGUUGAGACGUUGCCGACGGACGACGACGAGGGAGGAGG